GCCGUAUUGUCAACCAAUUUUAUUAUGUUAUUCUUCGUAAUGAGAGGGUCGUAGGUUCAAAUCCUAUUAGUGGCUCCA
rnacentral:tRNA from 1 species